rnacentral:antisense_RNA from 1 species
CUUGAUCGAGCCGAUCAGCAGCGGGUGCUCGCGGUUCUGGCCGUAGGUCUCCAGCAGCGCCUGCGCCUC